GUCGAACGGUAGCACAGAGAGCUUGCUCUCGGGUGACGAGUGGCGGACGGGUGAGUAAUGUCUGGGAAACUGCCUGAUGGAGGGGGAUAACUACUGGAAACGGUAGCUAAUACCGCAUAACGUCGCAAGACCAAAGAGGGGGACCUUCGGGCCUCUUGCCAUCAGAUGUGCCCAGAUGGGAUUAGCUAGUAGGUGGGGUAACGGCUCACCUAGGCGACGAUCCCUAGCUGGUCUGAGAGGAUGACCAGCCACACUGGAACUGAGACACGGUCCAGACUCCUACGGGAGGCAGCAGUGGGGAAUAUUGCACAAUGGGCGCAAGCCUGAUGCAGCCAUGCCGCGUGUAUGAAGAAGGCCUUCGGGUUGUAAAGUACUUUCAGCGGGGAGGAAGGUGUUGCGGUUAAUAACCGCAGCAAUUGACGUUACCCGCAGAAGAAGCACCGGCUAACUCCGUGCCAGCAGCCGCGGUAAUACGGAGGGUGCAAGCGUUAAUCGGAAUUACUGGGCGUAAAGCGCACGCAGGCGGUCUGUCAAGUCGGAUGUGAAAUCCCCGGGCUCAACCUGGGAACUGCAUUCGAAACUGGCAGGCUAGAGUCUUGUAGAGGGGGGUAGGAUUCCAGGUGUAGCGGUGAAAUGCGUAGAGAUCUGGAGGAAUACCGGUGGCGAAGGCGGCCCCCUGGACAAAGACUGACGCUCAGGUGCGAAAGCGUGGGGAGCAAACAGG
rnacentral:rRNA from 1 species